GUGGGGAAUAUUGGACAAUGGGCGAAAGCCUGAUCCAGCCAUGCCGCGUGUGUGAAGAAGGUCUUCGGAUUGUAAAGCACUUUAAGUUGGGAGGAAGGGCAGUAAGUUAAUACCUUGCUGUUUUGACGUUACCGACAGAAUAAGCACCGGCUAACUUCGUGCCAGCAGCCGCGGUAAUACGAAGGGUGCAAGCGUUAAUCGGAAUUACUGGGCGUAAAGCGCGCGUAGGUGGUUUUGUAAGUUGGAGGUGAAAUCCCCGGGCACAACCUGGGAACUGCCUCCACAACUGCAUGACUAGAGUACGGUAGAGGGUAGUGGAAUUUCCUGUGUAGCGGUGAAAUGCGUAGAUAUAGGAAGGAACACCAGUGGCGAAGGCGACUACCUGGACUGAUACUGACACUGACGUGCGAAAGCGUGGUGAGCAAACAGAAUUAGAAACCCCAGUAGUCC
rnacentral:rRNA from 1 species